GACGAACGCUGGCGGCGUGCUUAACACAUGCAAGUCGAACGGAAAGGCCCUGCUUUUGUGGGGUGCUCGAGUGGCGAACGGGUGAGUAACACGUGAGUAACCUGCCCUUGACUUUGGGAUAACUUCAGGAAACUGGGGCUAAUACCGGAUAGGAGCUCCUGCUGCAUGGUGGGGGUUGGAAAGUUUCGGCGGUUGGGGAUGGACUCGCGGCUUAUCAGCUUGUUGGUGGGGUAGUGGCUUACCAAGGCUUUGACGGGUAGCCGGCCUGAGAGGGUGACCGGCCACAUUGGGACUGAGUUACGGCCCAGACUCCUACGGGAGGCAGCAGUGGGGAAUAUUGCACAAUGGGCGGAAGCCUGAUGCGGCAACGCCGCGUGCGGGAUGACGGCCUUCGGGUUGUAAACCGCUUUCGCCUGUGACGAAGCGUGAGUGACGGUAAUGGGUAAAGAAGCACCGGCUAACUACGUG
rnacentral:rRNA from 1 species